UACGAGAGGCCCAAACGUUAUUCGGAUUUACUGGGCUUAAAGAGUUCGUAGGCGGUCCAUCAAGUGGGGUGUGAAAUCCCUCGGCUCAACCGAGGAAUUGCGCUCCAAACUGUUGGGCUCGAGGGAGAUAGAGGUGAGCGGAACUGAUGGUGGAGCGGUGAAAUGCGUUGAUAUCAUCAGGAACACCAGAGGCGAAGGCGGCUCACUGGACCGGUACUGACGCUGAUGCGCGAAAGCGUGGGGAGCAAACAGG
rnacentral:rRNA from 1 species